AUUGAACGCUGGCGGCAGGCCUAACACAUGCAAGUCGAACGAGUGGCGGACGGGUGAGAAAUGUCUGGGAAACUGCCCGAUGGAGGGGGAUAACUACUGGAAACGGUAGCUAAUACCGCAUACCAUCGGAUGUGCCCAGAUGGGAGUAGCUAGUAGGUGGGGUAACGGCUCACCUAGGCGACGAUCCCUAGCUGGUCUGAGAGGAUGACCAGCCACACUGGAACGGUGACACGGUCCAGACUCCUACGGGAGGCAGCAGUGGGGAAUAUUGCACAAUGGGCGCAAGCCUGCUGCAGCCAUGCCGCGUGUAUGAAGAAGGCCUUCGGGUUGUAAAGUACUUUCAGCGAGGAGGCGUUACUCGCAGAAGAAGCACCGGCUAACUCCGUGCCAGCAGGCGCGGUAAUUC
rnacentral:rRNA from 1 species